rnacentral:rRNA from 1 species
GACGAACGCUGGCGGCGUGCUUAACACAUGCAAGUCGUGCGGUAAGGCCCUUUCGGGGGUCCACGAGCGGCGAACGGGUGAGUAACACGUGAUCAACCUGCCCUUCACUUUGGGAUAACUGCCGGAAACGGUGGCUAAUACCGGAUAUGACUUCCUCACGCAUGUGGGGUGGUGGAAAGCCUUCGGGUGGUGGGGGAUGGGCUCGCGGUCUAUCAGCUUGUUGGUGGGGUGUUGGCCUACCAAGGCUUCGACGGGUAGCCGGCCUGAGAGGGUGACCGGCCACACUGGGACUGAGAAACGGCCCAGACUCCUACGGGAGGCAGCAGUGGGGAAUAUUGGACAAUGGGCGAAAGCCUGAUCCAGAAACGCCGCGUGAGGGAUGACGGCCUUCGGGUUGUAAACCUCUUUCGCCUGAGACGAAGCGAGAGUGACGGUAGCAGGUAAAGAAGCACCGGCCAACUACGUG